rnacentral:rRNA from 1 species
UACAGGAGGGUGCAAGCGUUAAUCGGAAUUACUGGGCGUAAAGCGUGCGUAGACGGUCAUGUAAGUCGGGUGUGAAAGCCCCGGGCUCAACCUGGGAAUUGCAUUCGAGACUGCAUGGCUAGGAUGCGGAAGAGGGAAGCGGAAUUUCCGGUGUAGCGGUGAAAUGCGUAGAUAUCGGAAGGAACAUCCAGUGGCGAAAGCGGACUUCCUGGCCAGUAC